GCCUAGCAGUCCCUCUGGGCUGUUCUUUUCUGAAUUUGGGUUCUUACUCCUGAGAAAUUCCAAUGCCUCUAAUGUUUUAGGAUUAUCUUGAGGCCAUCCAAUGGCACUGAUAUCAUAGCCAUCAAGCACUAUGAUUCUGUAUUCUGAAGCAGGUGAAAAAUCAUAGUAGGCAUUACCAUCAGGACUUGAAAUCUCCAAUAUUGGGAGUAAUUUCUCACGAGGAAGAUUGUAGAGACA
rnacentral:misc_RNA from 1 species